rnacentral:tRNA from 1 species
GGGCCCGUGGCCUAGUCAGGAUAUGGCGAGGGCUUGCGGAGCCCUAGGUCGUGGGAUCGAAGCCCACCGGGCCCG